AGUGAACGCUGGCGGUAGGCCUAACACAUGCAAGUCGAACGGCAGCACAGUAAGAGCUUGCUCUUACGGGUGGCGAGUGGCGGACGGGUGAGGAAUACAUCGGAAUCUACUUUUUCGUGGGGGAUAACGUAGGGAAACUUACGCUAAUACCGCAUACGACCUACGGAUGAAAGCAGGGGAUCUUCGGACCUUGCGCGAUUGAAUGAGCCGAGGUCGGAUUAGCUAGUUGGCGGGGUAAAGGCCCACCAAGGCGACGAUCCGUAGCUGGUCUGAGAGGAUGAUCAGCCAGACUGGAACUGAGACACGGUCCAGACUCCUACGGGAGGCAGCAGUGGGGAAUAUUGGACAAUGGGGGCAAGCCUGAUCCAGCAAUACCGCGUGAGUGAAGAAGGCCUUCGGGUUGUAAAGCCCUUUUGUUGGGAAAGAAAAGCAGCAGGUUAAUACCCCGCUGUUCUGACGGUACCCAAAGAAUAAGCACCGGCUAACUUCGUG
rnacentral:rRNA from 1 species